AUGGAUCUUUCCAUUGCAGAGCCACCGCUCCUGGGAGCCAGCCGAGAGGUUCUCAACAAGGAGCUGAGUGACCUGACAACCCCGCCCCCCCCCCCCCCCCCCCCUUGCAGUGCAAUCAGUUUCAUUGGCAAGCCACACUUAUGGGACCUAAGGACAGCCCAUAUCAAGGCAGCGUGUUCUUUCACUUCCCUACAGACUACUCCUUCAAACCACCCAAAGUUGCAUUUACAACAAGAAUUUAUCAUCCAAACAUUAACAGUAAUGACAGCAUUUGUCUAGAUAGUCUAAGAUCGCAGUGGUCUUCUGCUUUAACCAUUUCUAAAGUUCUUUUCUCCAUUUGCUCACUUCUUGGUGAUUCAAACCCAGAUGACCCCCUAGUGCUGGAGAUCACACGGAUCUAUAAGACAGACAGAGAUAAGUACAACAGAGUAUCUCGGGAAUGGACUCAGAAGUAUGCUAUGUCAUGCCACCUUAAAGUCAGAAAAACCUGUAUUAUAGCUGGAAUAAACUUUAAAUUACUUUUCCUAUUUUGAUUUUCUUAUCCGGCUGCUCCCUUGUCAGACUUCAUCUUUUUAAAUUUUAUUUUUGUUUACCUCUCUCCAUUCAUUCACAUGCUCAUCAGAGAAGAUCUAAGUUCUUCCAGCUUUGCACAAUAACUGCUUUUAGAAACUAUAAAGUAGUUACAAGAGAACAGUUGCCCAAGAUUCAGAAUUUAAAAAAAAAUGGAGCAUGUGUAUUAUGUGGCUAAUGUCUUCACUCUAACUUGGUUAUGAGACUAAACCAUUCCUCACUGCUCUAACUUGCUGAAGAAGCCAUCUGGGGGGUUGGGGUGGGGUGCCCACGGUCAUCCUGAGGAAGC